rnacentral:lncRNA from 1 species
GAUGAAUGAAAUUUUUAAGGAUCAAUUAAGGCGGUCAGUACUAGUCUUUUUUUUUUUUUUUUUUUAUGAUAUACAUCAUAUAGCAAGAAUAUGACUGAGCACAAGGGGCAUUUGAGGUGGGUUUUGAGGGUAUUGGCAGAGAAUCAAUUGUAUCGAAUGGGAAGAAGUGUAUCUUCAGACAAGGCAAAGUCGAGUAUUUAGGACAUGUUAUUUCUCAGCAUGGGUGGCAGCAGAUUGUGAAAAAAUUAAAGCAAUGGUGGAUUGGCCAAACCUGAGGUCCUUUCGUGAACUAAGGGCAUUCCUUGGUCUUAAAGGAUACUACAGAUGGUUUGUGCAGGAUUAUGGAAAUAUAGCAUGGCUUCUAACCGAGAGACUUAAAAAGAAUACUUUCUAUUGGGACGUGAACAGGCAUUUAUGUAGCUCAAGGAGAAAAUGACUUCAUUUCUUGUCCUAGCACUACCUAAUUUUUAGAAGUCGUUUGUCGUCAAAACGGAUGCUUUAGGGUAUGGAUUGGCGGCUGUCCUUAUGCAAGAAAAAUGACCCAUAGCUUUCUUUAGUCAUGCUCUUAAUUCUAGAAGUCGAGGGAAAUCAGUAAACGAGCGAGAGCUAAUGGCCAUUGUGCUUGCGGUGCAAAAAUGGAGACACUACCUGAUGGGCCACCAUUUCAUCAUAUGAACUGAUCAAAAAAGUCUAAAAUUCUUGAUGGAACAGAGAAUGGUAGACCCAAAUUAUUGGUAGACCCAAAUUAUCAAAAGUGGCUGAUAACGCUUAUGGGUUAUCGGUUUGAAAUUCAAUAUAGACCAGGCCUAGAAAAUAAGGCAGCUGAUGCUCUUUCUUGCAUUAAUCACCAGCAUGCCUCGAUGGCUAUGACUGUUCCUAGUGUUGUUCAGUUAGAGCAAUUGGCAAGGGAGGUAGCUGUUGAUGAGGAGUUACAUUGAAUAAUCACGAAGAUGAGAAGGGAUCCCUCAACUUGGCCUAAUUAUGAAGUGAUUGAGGGGCACUAAUUAUACAAAGGAAAGUUGUUCCUGCCAAAGGGGCCUGCUAUGAUUCCUCUGAUGCUACAGGAAGGCCAUGAUAGUAGCAUAGGGGGCCACUCCGAGAUGUUGAAAACAUAUAAGAGGAUUGCCUCUAAUGUCUAUUGGGUGGGGAUGAAAAAGGAUAUCUACCAUUAUGUCAAGAAUUGCUCGACAUGCCAACAAAAUAAAUAUAUGGCCCUGUCUCCAAUUAGCUUAUUGCAACCCCUAGCCAUUCCAAAUCAGGUAUGGGAAGAUAUUACCAUGGAUUUCGUGGAAGGGUUACCAAAGUUAGGAAACUGGGACUCCAUUUUAGUUGUAGUGGACAGAUUAAGCAAGUACGCAAAUUUUGUGGCGCUAAAACACCCUUUCUCAGCAGCUACUAUUGCUAGGGUUUUUAUGAAAGAGAUUGUUCGCCUCCAUGGGAUCCCUUGCUCCAUUGUAUCUGACCGGGACACGAUAUUCAUGAGCAAGUUUUGGGAAGAAUUAUUUCGUUUACAAGGCACGAGACUCUGCCAAAGUACAGCUUAUUACCUCCAAUCAGAUGGGUAGUCAGAAGUGGUGAACCGCACCUUGGAAACAUAUCUAUGCUAUUUUGCUUCAUCCCAGCCAAGGUCAUGGGCAGUUUGGCUACCUUAGGUAGAGUUGUGGUACAACACUCCCUACCACGCAGCUUCCAAGUUGAUUCCUUGUCAAGCAUUAUAUGGGCGUGA